GAACGCUGGCGGCGUGCUUAACACAUGCAAGUCGAACGAGAACGGAUUAUAGCUUGCUAUAAUUGUCAGCUAAGUGGCGCACGGGUGAGUAAUGUAUAGGUAAUAUGCCUCUUACUAAGGGAUAACAAAUGGAAACGUUUGCUAAUACCUUAUACUCCUUAUUAACAGAAGUUAAUAAGGAAGAUUAUUGGUAAGAGAUUAGCCUGUAUUGUAUCAGUUAGUUGGUGGGGUAAUGGCUUACCAAGACUAUGACACAUAACUGGUUUGUAGAGGAUGAUCAGUCACACUGGAACUGAGACACGGUCCAGACUCCUACGGGAGGCAGCAGUGGGGAAUAUUGCACAAUGGACGAAAGUCUGAUGCAGCAACGCCGCGUGGAGGAUGACACAUUUCGGUGCGU
rnacentral:rRNA from 1 species